UUUAUAAUUGAUGUGGGAGGACCUC
rnacentral:piRNA from 1 species